rnacentral:hammerhead_ribozyme from 1 species
AUCCAACUGACGAGUCCCGAAUAAGCCGUAACGCACGUCCUGGAU